UACAGAGGGGGCAAGCGUUAUUCGGAAUUAUUGGGCGUAAAGGGCGCGUAGGCGGCGGGGUAAGUCGGGUGUGAAAUCUCAGAGCUCAACUCUGAAACUGCACUCGAUACUGCUCUGCUUGAGGACUGGAGAGGAGACUGGAAUUCACGGUGUAGCAGUGAAAUGCGUAGAUAUCGUGAGGAAGACCAGUGGCGAAGGCGGGUCUCUGGACAGUUCCUGACGCUGAGGCGCGAAGGCCAGGGGAGCAAACGGG
rnacentral:rRNA from 1 species